AUACGUAGGGAGCGAGCGUUGUCCGGAAUUACUGGGCGUAAAGGGCGCGUAGGCGGCGCUUCAAGUCGUCUGUCAAAUGGAAGGGCUUAACCCUUUUUCGCAGACGAAACUGGAGAGCUUGAGACGCAGAGAGGCAAACAGAAUUCCUGGUGUAGCGGUGAAAUGCGUCAUUAUCAGGAAGAAUACCAGUGGCGAAGGCGGUUUGCUUGAUGCAUACGGCCGCUGAGUGGCCAAAGCCAGGGGAGCAAACGGGGUUAGAUCCCCCGGUGGUCCUGGUAGUAGGCGGUGUUCGCUGGGUGGGAGACAGGCGAUAGACGCGUGCCGAAGUUAACGCAAUAAGGAUACCGCCUGGGUACGUCGGUUGCAAGAUUGCAACUGAAAGGAAUUGGCGUGC
rnacentral:rRNA from 1 species